ensembl:lncRNA
ACCAAUAGGGCCACCAAUGGGACUGAAUGGGGCCACCAAUGGGGCCACCAAUGGGACUGAAUGGGGCCACCAAUAGGGCCACCAAUGGGACUGAAUGGGGCCAACAAUGGGGCCACCAAUGGGACUGAAUGGGGCCACCAAUGGGGCCACCAAUGGGGCCACCAAUGGGACUGAAUGGGGACAGCAAUGGGGCCACCAAUAGGGCCACCAAUAGGGCCACCAAUGGGACUGAAUGGGGCCACCAAUAGGGCCACGAAUGGGACUGAAUGGGGCCACGAAUGGGACUGAAUGGGGCCGCAGUGCCCCCCCGCACUCAGCCAUUCCCCCCCCCAACCCCGCAGCUGCCGCCGUCCGUCCGUCCGUCCGUCCCCGUCCGUCUGUCCCCAUCCAUCACCGCAGGCCGUCCCCAUCCCCGUCCGUCUGUCCCCAUCUGUCCCUCUGUCCGUCCCCGUCCCUCUGUCCCCAUCUGUCCCUCUGUCCUCCCUGCCCCUGGCCGGCUGUCCCCAUCUGUGUCCGUCUGUCUGUCCUGAUCCCCAUCUGUCCCCAUAUGUCCGUCUGUCCCCCUCCACGUCCGUCUGUCUGUCCUUAUCCCCAUCCGGCCCCGUCUGUCCGUCUGUCCCCAUCCAUGUCCGUCUGUCUGUCCCCAUCCGUGUCCGUCUGUCUGUCUGUCCCCAUCUGUCUGUCUGUCCCCCUCUGUGUCUGUCUGUCUGUCCCCAUCUGUGUCUGUCUGUCUGUCCCCAUUCGUGUCUGUCUGUCUGUCCCCAUCUGUGUCUGUCUGUCCCCAUCUGUCUGUGUCCGUCUGUCCCCAUCCAUGUCUGUCUGUCUGUCCCCAUCCGUGUCCGUCUGUCCGUCUGUCCCCAUCUGUCCGUCUGUCUGUCCCCAUCUGUGUCUGUCUGUCCCCAUCCGUGUCUGUCUGUCCUUAUCACUGUCUGUCUGUCCGUCCCCAUCUGUGUCCCCUUCUCCCUAUGUCCGUCUGUCCCCCUCCACGUCCGUCUGUCUGUCCUUAUCCCCAUCUGUCUCCGUCUGUCCGUCUGUCUGUCCCUAUCCGUGUCCGUCUGUCCCCCUCCACGUCCAUCUGUCCGUCUGUCCCCAUCCGUGUCCGUCCGUCUGUCCUUAUCCCCAUCUGGCCCCAUCUGUCCGUCUGUCCUCCUCCACAUCCGUCUGUCUGUCCCGGUCCAUAUGUCUGUCCUUAUCCCCAUCUGUCUCCGUCUGUCCCCAUCUGUUCCUGUCCCCGUCUGUCCGUCUGUCCCCCUCCAUGUCCGUCUGUCUGUCCCCACCUGUGUCUGUCUGUCCCCAUCCACGUCCGUCCGUCUGUCCCCAUCUGUCUGUGUCCGUCUGUCCCCCUCCACAUCCGUCUGUCUGUCCUUAUCCCCAUCCG